CAAUCAUUUUUAUAUAGAAGUUUUGUUAUCUGAUAAGUGUGUAAUAUAAUAUAUUUAUCUCCCCUUAUUUUAUUAUUAUAAGUGUGUUUAUAUUAUUAUUUAAUACAUUUUAUAUAUUUUUAAUACUAUAAGAUAUAAUAUGCUAUGUUUUUAUUUAUUACUAAUAUUACUUAAUUAUAAUAUUUUUAUAUUAUGAUGAAUCUUAGUCCAAGAAGUGAAACAAAGAAUUCAAGCCCAAUUCACUUUGUGAAAAUCAGCCCAAAAGUUCCAAAGCAAGAAAAGAAGAAAAAGAAAAGAAAAGAAAAAAAAAGAGGAAAAGAAGCAAAGGAAAACCAGAAGAAGAAAGAAUGAAAAGAACAGAACACUUCGUCCCUCUUUGCUUCGACGCACCAGCAUCAACACUCCACAUCAUCACCAACUUCACCGCCAUUCUUCUUCCACCACCGAAUCUCCACCAAUCAGAACGGCUGCGACUUGUGACCAAUCAAAACGAAGCCGCAAUUUGGCGCCGCAAACCGACUACGAAGGGCGGUUUUUAGGGCCGAACUUGGAGCCCAAUUCUCUUGUUUGAUUGGUUCGAAAUUCUUCAACUGGGCGGCAUAAUUGGAUAUAAAUACCCAAUUGAGGUGUCCGAAAAUAUUAUGCAAGAAAUUCCACAGAAACUUGAGUGAAAAAUCAGAGAAAUUACGUGAGGCUUCGAGGCUAGUGUGGGGGUGCGCGAGCUCGACGGAAGAUAGCCUUGGGUUGGAGUCCUAGCACACAACCGGGGAGGGUGAAGUUCAAGCUCGAUUGUAGAUUUGCAGGUGAAUUUUGGAUGUGCAUGGGAGCAUACUAGGAAGGGGAUCUUCACCUAGAUUAGAGUUUUUCAUUUAUUUUGAGUAUUGAGACAAUAUUUACUUUUAUUAAUAAAGAAGUAUUAUUAUUUUUGGUUAAAGUCUUCCGCUGCAAGUUAUUUUGGUUAGUUAGUAGUUGGUUGCCGAAAGCGUGUUAGUCACGUGGCGGUAAUACUCCUAAAUUACUCAAAUAUUAUUUAUUAAAUUAUUUAUUUAAAAGUGAGUAAUUUGGGGGUGUUACAUCCAUUUUCUCCAAAGCUUGAAGAAUCUCAAUUCUUUAUCUUUUGUUUGUGUAGGGAGGUAAAUUUCUUGCACAACAGGAUUGGGUUGUGAGCGUUCAAUUAAAGUACAGUAAUGGCGAGAGAGGGGAGUUGGAAGGACAGUAAUGGAAGCUGAAU